UACGGAGGGGGCUAGCGUUGUUCGGAAUUACUGGGCGUAAAGCGCGCGUAGGCGGCUUUGUAAGUUAGAGGUGAAAGCCCGGAGCUCAACUCCGGAAUUGCCUUUAAGACUGCAUCGCUAGAAUCAUGGAGAGGUGAGUGGAAUUCCGAGUGUAGAGGUGAAAUUCGUAGAUAUUCGGAAGAACACCAGUGGCGAAGGCGACUCACUGGACAUGUAUUGACGCUGAGGUGCAAAAGCGUGGGGAGCAAACAGG
rnacentral:rRNA from 1 species